GCGCGAUCAGCCGGGGCGUGACGGCCGCGCCGGCGCUGGCGUCGCUGGCGGCGAUGUUGUUGCCGGAGCCGGUGACCGUGGCGCCGGCCGGGUGC
rnacentral:tRNA from 1 species